rnacentral:rRNA from 1 species
UACGUAGGGGGCAAGCGUUGUCCGGAAUCAUUGGGCGUAAAGAGCGUGUAGGCGGUUCGGUAAGUCGGCUGUGAAAGUCCAGGGCUCAACCCUGGGAUGCCGGUCGAUACUGCCGGACUAGAGUUCGGAAGAGGCGAGUGGAAUUCCCGGUGUAGCGGUGAAAUGCGCAGAUAUCGGGAGGAACACCUAUGGCGAAGGCAGCUCGCUGGGACGUUACUGACGCUGAGGCACGAAAGCGUGGGUAGCAAACAGG